CCACUUUCAAAAUAAAGGUUAGGAAGCAAAAAUCAAAACAGAAAAUAUAAGUUAGAUAAGGUUUAGGCAGGAAAAUUGGAUUAGGAUUAAUAUAAUUAGGAAGAAUAAAUAAUAUAUAUAAUUAUAAUUUUAGGUUAAAACUGUUGAGGAAUAAGAUAAUAAUUUUAUAAAUAACUGGGUCUACUGUAUGUAAUAAAUAAGGUACAGAUAUAGGAAAAGGAAUACUAAGUGAUGAUAAAGAACUAUAAAGAAGUGAAUGGUCAAAAAGGGGACAUGAAAGAAUAAUGUGAUUUAAAUCGCCAAUGUCCGCACCGCAUUCACACUUACUGCUAUCCAGCACUCCGAUCGUCGCUAGAUGUGCCGGACUACACGUGUGGCCUAAUCUCAUCCGUAUCAAACUGGAAGUCUCGUGGCGUUUAAAAUUAUAUUUGUAGAACCAUGGUUUGGAAGGAAUGGUUUCUACAGUCUAAGAGAAUAGGGUAAAUCGGUUGAGAUUUAAAAGGAAAUUUUGCAAGAGCCUGUAAAGCACUCUUUGAAUCGGGAUUUGAAAACGAAUUUAUCAGAUAAAUAUUGACGUCUCAAAUGAAGAGGAGGAUCAACACAUUCUACCUGUAAUGCUGUAACAGGACUAGAUUUCAUGGCUCCAGUGAUAAUUCUGAGUGAUUUAGACUGUAUAGUGUCUAGUUUUUUGAAAGCAUUCACAUCCCCUGGUUGAAGUAAAAAAGUACCAUAAUCUAAAACUGAUCUUACUAUGGCAUUAUAUAAAAGUUUUAAAUUGAAUGGGUGGGCACCCCACCAUACACCAGCAAGAGAACAAAUUAAUUCAUUCUCAUACAAUAUACUAAUUGGAGGAAGAGAACGUUUUCUAGAGAAUACAACAAUAGAACUUUUGGAGGCAGAAAGGGAAAGUCCAUUAUUAUCUAACCAAGAUUUAAGAGUUAGAAAUGAAUUCCUAAGGGAUAAGCAAGCCUUAUGUAUGUCUUUAUUGCAAGUGUACAUAAGGAGGUCAUCAGCAUAUUGAAGAAUUUUUACUUGAUUUCCAAGGGUCUCUUCCAAAUCACAAGUGUAUAUAUUGUAUAAAAUUGGACUUAACACAGAUCCUUGAGGAAGACCUCUCCAUAAAGUUCUAGAUUGUUGUGAAUCUGAAGAGAUGAGAGAGCUAUGGGUCUGUAUGACAAUACAUCUGAUGAAGAUUUACCCGGUUUGAGAAUGGGUAAAAUAAUUUGUUUUUUCCAUGACUCUGGGAUAACACAUGUAAUGAACAUAGAAUUUAUAAGGUUGAGGUAAUAUGUGAGACUAGAAUCACUCAAAUGGACAAAGAAAGAAUAAGGAAUCUUAUCAUCACCUGGAGCAGAGUCCUUAAGAUUCGAGAUUACCCCCUUCAGUUCAUUAAAUGAAAAAGGUAAAUCAAAAUCUGAAACUGGAUCUGAACAUGAGAAAGGAAGGACAGACGGGAUAAGAACUAAACAUUCUUCUGGAACAUAAGGGGGAGCUAAUUUAUCAAGAAACUUGUCAGCCAGAUCAUAAGG